rnacentral:rRNA from 1 species
UACGUAGGGGGCGAGCGUUGUCCGGAGUUACUGGGCGUAAAGCGCACGCAGGCGGUCUGUUAAGUUUGGAGUGACAGUUGGUGGCUCAACCACCAAAGUGCUUUGAAAACUGAUAGACUUGAGGGCUUCAGAGGGACACGGAAUUCCGGGUGGAGUGGUGAAAUGCGUAGAGAUCCGGAGGAACACCAAAGGCGAAGGCAGUGUCCCGGGGAGUACCUGACGCUCAGGUGCGAAAGCCAGGGGAGCGAACGGG